GACGUAGGGCGCGAGCGUUGUCCGGAUUUACUGGGCGUAAAGAGCGCGCAGGCGGUCGUUCAAGUCGAGUGUGAAAGCCCCCGGCUCAACUGGGGAGGGUCACUUGAUACUGAUCGACUCGAAGGCAGGAGAGGGAAGCGGAAUUCCCGGUGUAGUGGUGAAAUGCGUAGAUAUCGGGAGGAACACCAGUGGCGAAGGCGGCUUCCUGGCCUGUUCUUGACGCUGAGGCGCGAAAGCUAGGGGAGCAAACGGG
rnacentral:rRNA from 1 species